CCUACGGGAGGCAGCAGUAGGSAAUAUUGGGCAAUGGCCGCGAGGCUGACCCAGCCAUGCCGCGUGCCGGAUGACGGCCUUCUGGGUUGUAAACGGCUUUUGCUAGGGAAGAAAACGAGGAUGCGUCCUUACCUGACGGUACCUAGCGAAUAAGCACCGGCUAACUCCGUGCCAGCAGCCGCGGUAAUACGGAGGGUGCAAGCGUUGUCCGGAUUUAUUGGGUUUAAAGGGUGCGUAGGUGGCCUGUUAAGUCCGGGGUGAAAGCCCACAGCUCAACUGUGGAACUGCCCUGGAUACUGGCGGGCUUGAGUCCAGACGAGGGUGGCGGAAUGGAAGCUGUAGCGGUGAAAUGCAUAGAUAGCUUCCAGAACCCCGAUUGCGUAGGCAGCUGCCUAGACUGGUACUGACACUGAGGCACGAAAGCGUGGGGAGCGAACAGGAUUAGAUACCCUGGUAGUSCACGCCGUAAACGAUGGAUACUCGCUGGUGGCAAUACACGGWCACUGGCUUANCGAAAGCGGUAAGUAUCCCACCUGGGGAGUACCGCUCGCANGAGUGAAACUCAAAGGAAUUGACCGG
rnacentral:rRNA from 1 species